UGCAGCAACGCCGCGUGAGGGAUGACGGCCUUCGGGUUGUAAACCUCUUUUAGUAGGGAAGAAGCGAAAGUGACGGUACCUGCAGAAAAAGCACCGGCUAACUACGUGCCAGCAGCCGCGGUAAUACGUAGGGUGCAAGCGUUGUCCGGAAUUAUUGGGCGUAAAGAGCUCGUAGGCGGUUUGUCGCGUCUGCUGUGAAAUCCCGAGGCUCAACCUCGGGCUUGCAGUGGGUACGGGCAGACUAGAGUGCGGUAGGGGAGAUUGGAAUUCCUGGUGUAGCGGUGGAAUGCGCAGAUAUCAGGAGGAACACCGAUGGCGAAGGCAGAUCUCUGGGCCGUAACUGACGCUGAGGAGCGAAAGCAUGGGGAGCGAACAGGAUUAGAUACCCUGGUAGUCCAUGCCGUAAACGUUGGGCGCUAGAUGUAGGGACCUUUCCACGGUUUCUGUGUCGUAGCUAACGCAUUAAGCGCCCCGCCUGGGGAGUACGGCCGCAAGGCUAAAACUCAAAGGAAUUGACGGGGGCCCGCACAAGCGGCGGAGCAUGCGGAUUAAUUCGAUGCAACGCGAAGAACCUUACCAAGGCUUGACAUACACCGGAACGGCCAGAGAUGGUCGCCCCCUUGUGGUC
rnacentral:rRNA from 3 species